GACGAACGCUGGCGGCGUGCCUAAUACAUGCAAGUAGAACGCCGAAGAGAGGAGCUUGCUCUUCUUGGAUGAGUUGCGAACGGGUGAGUAACGCGUAGGUAACCUGCCUGGUAGCGGGGGAUAACUAUUGGAAACGAUAGCUAAUACCGCAUAAAAUGGAUUAUCGCAUGAUAAUCCAUUGAAAGGUGCAAAUGCAUCACUACCAGAUGGACCUGCGUUGUAUCAGCUAGUUGGUGGGGUAACGGCUCACCAAGGCGACGAUACAUAGCCGACCUGAGAGGGUGAUCGGCCACACUGGGACUGAGACACGGCCCAGACUCCUACGGGAGGCAGCAGUAGGGAAUCUUCGGCAAUGGACGGAAGUCUGACCGAGCAACGCCGCGUGAGUGAAGAAGGUUUUCGGAUCGUAAAGCUCUGUUGUAAGAGAAGAACGAGUGUGAGAGUGGAAAGUUCACACUGUGACG
rnacentral:rRNA from 1 species